rnacentral:rRNA from 1 species
GACGAACGCUGGCGGCGUGCUUAACACAUGCAAGUCGAACGGAAAGGCCCUGCUUUUGUGGGGUGCUCGAGUGGCGAACGGGUGAGUAACACGUGAGUAACCUGCCCUUGACUUUGGGAUAACUUCAGGAAACUGGAGCUAAUACCGGAUAGGAGCUCCUGCUGCAUGGUGGGGGUUGGAAAGUUUCGGCGGUUGGGGAUGGACUCGCGGCUUAUCAGCUUGUUGGUUGGGUAGUGGCUUACCAAGGCUUUGACGGGUAGCCGGCCUGGGAGGGUGACCGGCCACAUUGGGACUGAGAUACGGCCCAGACUCCUACGGGAGGCAGAAGGGGGGAAUAUUGCACAAUGGGCGGAAGCCUGAUGCAGCAACGCCGCGUGCGGGAUGACGGCCUUCGGGUUGUGAACCGCUGUCGCCUGUGACGAAGCGUGAGUGACGGUAAUGGGUAAAUAAGCACCGGCUAACUACGUG